AUAUUUUGUUUUAUAUUUUACAAAAACUUAAUCAGCAAUGUCAAUUUGGCUUAACCAACCUUACCUUCAGGAAGCUACGCUAAUGAAAGAAGGGAUCAUUGAGACCUUAAUUUUAGAGAACAAGGGAUGCUGGAAGUUUCUUUUAAAGUCGUUCAAGAAACUAUGACACAUAUGUUUGAAGAGGAUAGAGUUGCUUACUCAUUAAUCUUGGCAAACGAAGAAAACAACACAACAGAAAAAGACGGGGAAGAUGACAGGUAGCGGCAGCGCGUAGGACAAAACUAUUCAUAAACAUUAGGACAUAAACACGACGAUUUCUUAUGCUAUCACCGUAUCAUGAAAGUUGAAA